AAUGGAGGGAACUCUGAACCAGCCAUCCCGCGUGCAGGAUGAAGGGGCUCUGCCCUGUAAACUGCUUUUGAAUGGGACGAAAAAGCCUCACUUGUGAGGAACUGACGGUACCAUUAGAAUAAGCACCGGCUAACUCCGUGCCAGCAGCCGCGGUAAUACGGAGGGUGCAAGCGUUAUCCGGAAUCACUGGGUUUAAAGGGUGCGUAGGCGGUUGUAUAAGUCAGUGGUGAAAGGCCGUAGCUUAACUAUGGGAUUGCCAUUGAUACUGUAUGACUUGAAUGAGGUUGAGGUUGGCGGAAUGUGGCAUGUAGCGGUGAAAUGCUUAGAUAUGCCAUGGAACAUCGAUUGCGAAGGCAGCUGACUGGACCUGAAUUGACGCUGAGGCACGAAAGCGUGGGGAGCGAA
rnacentral:rRNA from 1 species